UACGAAGGGUGCAAGCGUUACUCGGAAUUACUGGGCGUAAGCGUGCGUAGGUGGUGAGUUAAGUCUGUCGUGAAAGCCCCGGGCUCAACCUGGGAAUGGCGAUGGAUGACUGGCUCGCUAGAGUGCGGUAGAGGAGAGUGGAAUUCCCGGUGUAGCAGUGAAAUGCGUAGAGAUCGGGAGGAACAUCAGUUGCGAAGGCGGCUCUCUGGACCAGCACUGACACUGAGGCACGAAAGCGUGGGGAGCAAACAGG
rnacentral:rRNA from 1 species